rnacentral:rRNA from 1 species
GAGUUUGAUUCUGGCUCAGGACGAACGCUGGCGGCGCGCCUAACACAUGCAAGUCGAGCGGAGAUAUGUAAGGAGUAAUCCGAGCGUAUUUUAGCGGCGGACGGGUGAGUAACGCGUGAGUGACCUGCCUCUUACAGGGGGAUAACGUACCGAAAGGUACACUAAUACCGCAUAAGACCACAGAGCCGCAUGGCAGAGGGGUCAAAGGAGCAAUCCGGUAAGAGAUGGGCUCGCGUCCGAUUAGAUAGUUGGUGAGGUAACGGCCCACCAAGUCUGCGAUCGGUAGCCGACCUGAGAGGGUGAACGGCCACAUUGGAACUGAGAGACGGUCCAAACUCCUACGGGAGGCAGCAGUGGGGAAUAUUGGGCAAUGGGGGAAACCCUGACCCAGCGACGCCGCGUGAAGGAAGAAGGCCUUCGGGUUGUAAACUUCUGUUCUUGGUGAAGAGGGGAAGACG